rnacentral:misc_RNA from 1 species
UACGGGGAGGCAGCAGUGAAAUUUUGGACAAUGGGGAAACCCUGAUCCAGCCAUCCCGCGUGUGCGAUGAGCCUUCGGGUUGCUCAAAAGCACUUUUGGCGGAAAGAAAGCGGCAGGUGUCUUGUGCAACUGACAGUACCUGCAGAAUAAGCACCGGCUAACUACGUGCCAGCAGCCGCGGUAAUACGUAGGGUGCAAGCGUUAAUCGGAAUUACUGAGGCGUAAAGCGUGCGCGGGCGGUUUAGGAAGAAAGAUGAAAUCCACAGGGCAAUAACUUUGGGAACUGCAUUUUAACUGCGAGCUAGAGUGUGUCAGAGGGAGGUGGAAUUCCGCGUGUAGCAGUGAAAUGCGUAGAUAUGCGGAGGAACACCGAUGGCGAAGGCAGCCUCCUGGGAUAACACUGACGCUCAUGCACAAAAAGCGUGGAGCAAACAGGAUUAGAUCCCCGGUAG